UGGACCGACCCUUCGGGGAGCUUGUACAGGUGCUGCAUGGGCUGUCGUCAGCUCGUGUCGUGAGAUGUUCGGUUAAGUCCGCUAACGAGCGCAACCCUCGCUGUGUGUUACAAGUGUCACACGGAACUGCCGGUCAUAAACCGGAGGAAGUGGGGAUGACGUCAAGUCAACAUGGCCUUUAUGUCCUGGGCUACACACACGCUACAAUGGUCGGUACAACAGGUUGCCAAGCCGCGAGGCGGAGCCAAUCCCCUAAAGCCGGCCUCAGUUCAGAUUGUAGGCUGCAACUCGCCUGCAUGAAGCUGGAGUUGCUAGUAACCGCAGGUCAGCUAUACUGCGGUGAAUACGUUCCCGGGUCUU
rnacentral:rRNA from 1 species